rnacentral:rRNA from 1 species
CCGGAACUCACCAGAUAAGACAGCUGAAUGAUAGUCGGGCUGAAGACUCUACUUGACUAGCUGAGAGGUGUGCAUGGCCGUCGUCAGUUCGUACUGUGAAGCAUCCUGUUAAGUCAGGCAACGAGCGAGACCCACGCCCACAGUUGCCAGCGUACUCUCUGGAGUGACGGGUACACUGUGGGACCGCCGCUGCUAAAGCGGAGGAAGGAAUGGGCAACGGUAGGUCAGUAUGCCCCGAAUAUCCCGGGCUACACGCGAGCUACGAUGGUUGGUACAAUGGGUAUCUACCCCGAAAGGGGACGGGAAUCUCCUAAAACCAAUCUUAGUUCGAAUUGAGGGCUGCAACUCGCCCUCAUGAAGCUGGAAUCCGUAGUAAUCGCGUUUCAACAGAACGCGGUGAAUACGUCCCUGCUCCUU